rnacentral:rRNA from 1 species
UUUUUUAGCAUGGGAAUAAUGGAAUAGGACGUCGCGGUUCUAUUUUGUUGGUUUCUAGGACCGCCGUAAUGAUUAAUAGGGACAGUCGGGGGCAUCAGUAUUCAAUCGUCAGAGGUGAAAUUCUUGGAUCGAUUGAAGACUAACUACUGCGAAAGCAUUUGCCAAGGAUGUUUUCAUUAAUCAGGAACGAAAGUUAGGGGAUCGAAACCGAUCAGAUACCGUUGUAGUCUUAACCAUAAACUAUGCCGACUAGGGAUCGGGCGGUGUUAUUUCUUGACCCGCUCGGCACCUUACACGAAAGUAAAGUUUUUGGGUUCUGGGGGGAGUAUGGUCGCAAGGCUGAAACUUAAAGAAAUUGACGGAAGGGCACCACAAGGGGUGGAGCCUGCGGCUUAAUUUGACUCAACACGGGGAAACUCACCAGGUCCAGACACAACUAGGAUUGACAGAUUGAGAGCUCUUUCUUGAUUUUGUGGGUGGUGGUGCAUGGCCGUUCUUAGUUGGUGGAGUGAUUUGUCUGCUUAAUUGCGAUAACGAACGAGACCUUAACCUGCUAAAUAGCCCGUGCCGCCUAGGCGGCACGCCGGCUUCUUAGAGGGNUAUCGGCCUCGAAAGCCCNNNNU